ACAACAGUCCGUGUUCCGUAAAUAUGCGCGUUAUUGUCAUCGGCCAGGGGCACAUCGCGACGUCGAUGACGACAAUGAUGACGAUGACGAUGUGAGAGGAUGCGGUGAUUUACCGGAACAUAGCGUGUGUCGCGAAUUUCGUGAAUGGCCAAUAGUGCUGGAUCCGCGAGUGGCCUCGCUGACCCAAUUUUGACAAACGAAGGUCCUUCCUUCGCGGCUAUGACCCUUCGAGUGAACCCUGUCGUCGGAGUCGCUGGCCUUUGAAAAACGGACGAUGACGAUGUCGCGUGGGGAAUGAAACUUAUGACGAUUUAAGCUGCGUUUAAAGAAAAUAAAAUUGUUUCGUGUGCUGACUUUACUUCAAGGAUGUUGCGGACUCCUCAACUCUAGAAUAUAGUAGUUACGUUAAGAACAUUAGGUUAAGUGGACAAAGCGAAUUUGUCCUAUUCGCAAAUGGUUCGAUUUUAAUCGCCGUAUCGCAUACCCUAAGCUCAACAGUCGAUCCCUGACGUUGCAAAAAAAAAGUGGUGAAUAAUACGUGGAUGCUGCAGCUGGUUUCUGCAGCGUGUUUUGAUUCAGGGACCAGAAGAAUCAGUCAAGAUGAAAUAUGUUUGUUCAAAUUCUCAAGCAGGAAUGUCGAAGAAAUACAGAUAUACGAUUGUGAUAAAUCGCCAGUCGAUUCGCAGCCGAGAUUUGUAUGUUUAUACAUGGCAGUACAUGAGAGGAACUUUAUCAUCCAGCAAGAUGCCUCAUGUCACACGAAAAUGGGAGCUAUUCCCAGGCAGAAAUCGCUUUUGUUGCGAUGGCAGAGUAAUGAUGGCACCACAGACUGGAGUAUUCUACGUUACUGUCUGUCUUAUUGUCGGAACCAGUGGAUUAUUCUUUGGUUUGGAUUGUCCAUAUUUGGCACUACAUGUAACACCAGCAAUACCAGUAGUAGGAGCAUUAUUAUUUAUAUUUGUGAUGUCUGCUUUAUUCCGCACAAGCUUUAGUGAUCCUGGAGUAAUUCCAAGAGCAACACCAGACGAAGCAGCUUAUAUUGAAAAACAAAUUGAAGUACCAAAUAAUGGUAAUUCAAAAACAUACAGACCACCGCCUAGAACAAAAGAAGUCUUGAUUAGAGGACAACCAGUAAAACUGAAAUAUUGUUUUACGUGUAAAAUAUUUAGGCCACCAAGGGCCUCUCACUGUAGUUUAUGUGACAAUUGUGUAGAGAGAUUUGAUCAUCAUUGUCCAUGGGUUGGAAAUUGCGUAGGGAGAAGAAAUUAUAGAUAUUUUUAUGCUUUUAUAGUGUCCUUGGCAUUUUUUUGCGUUUUCAUAUUUAUAUGUGCAGUCACACAUUUGAUUAUGCUUACAAACGAUAGCAAGCCUGUUUUAGAAGCUAUUAAAUUAUCUCCGAGCAGUAUUAUUGUGGCAAUCGUGUGCUUCUUUUCUGUUUGGAGUAUCAUAGGCCUUGCUGGCUUCCACACAUAUUUAACCAGCAGCAAUCAAACAACCAACGAAGAUAUUAAGGGAUCAUUCACGAAUAGAAGAGGGCAAGACAAUUUCAAUCCCUACAGUCAAGGAAAUAUAUGCGGAAAUUGUUUUUAUGUGUUAUGUGGACCAGCUCCACCUAGCUUAAUUGAUCGAAGAGGAAUAGUUACACCUGAAUAUCGCGCGGAACAAGAACGGCUUGGUGAUGAUAAUGUGAUUGCUAAUAAUAAGACGUAUGGUACUGCCAAAAUUGUGCAGCCUCAGCCGAAUGGUACGACGGUUCAAACAAGUCCUACCAUGGAUCUCACGGGCUCAAUGAACAAUCUGAUCACCGGUCAGCAUUCCCCAAGGAUAGAAUCAAUAAACGGUGAGUUGACUCUAUUGAGGCAUCCUGUGCAUUGUCCCGAAGAGCUACCGAAAUAUCCGCGCCAAUACAUAAACGAUACUUAUGUGCCGCCAUAUCCGGCACAACAUUGCUCUCAGGACUCGAUGAAGCAUAUUAAAUACACCACCGAGAUAGAUCGGCUAAAUCCAGACUUACAGAAAUAUCCAUGUAGAUGCGAGGAGGGUUUGCACAAGUAUCCUCACAGAUGUAGAGAUGAAUAUCAUAGAUGCUCGGAUAACAAUCUUAUAUACGAUCAGUGCGUAGAUCCGAAAUACGGCAUUGAUCUUCAGAAGUAUCCUCAGCGAUAUUCCGAGGAUCCUUUGGAUUACAAGAUAAGCGAAAAGAACGGUUACACCGAUCUGCAAAAGUUUCCCCAAUGUUACUCCGAGGAUCCGCUGCGACUUUCGCAGUCCCCGCAUAUGCUUAAGUAUAACAAUUUGAGGUGCGCCGAUCACAAUUUAAAAUAUCCGAUGUCAAAGAAUAUUCUGCCGGCGCGUAUAUUAGGUACGGGCGGUAUACCGAUUAUCGGACAGACCGCGAUUGGUCUUGUGGUCAAUAGAUUCGGCUCUGGCCCACUGACGAAUAAUUUAUCGUACGCGGAUAAUUCGUUAUGCCCGAGCGAUAGCACGGAGGAAGAUCUCUUGAAUCGGCGUUUCAUCAUGAGUUCACUGAGUGAUAACGAAGACAUUUAACGUCUGUUAUAAAUUAAUGUUUUUUAAAUAUAUAAUUCGGUUAAAUUCUCACAAAUAUAUAAUUCGGUUAUAUUAUACAAAUAAUGAAAUAAUGAUAAUUAUACUCCUCUACCAAAGAAAUUGUGGACUCAUAAUUAUAUUAGAAAGCUUUAACAAUUAAAUCGUGAUUCGUCCUAAUCUCGAAAUCUCUCUCACACUAAGAAAGUGCACCGAUUUGUAUAUAUAAAUGACUAUAUAAUUGUUCUCGAUUCCUUUAACAGGGAAUUAUAAAAAAAAAGUUAUAUAUACAAAUAUGCCAAGAAGUUGAAUUUAAUUGUUGCAAAAAGAGAUCUAUUUAUUUUUUGAGAGUACCGUUUUGCAUUACACAUAGAUUUUUAUUUUAAAAAUAAUAUGUAUAUUAUGGUUAUGGUGGUAUAUAAGUGAGUUAAGGUAUAAGACGCGUGUACCAGUUAUGUUUACUUGUGGCUUCUUAAUAGUACAUCAUUUUCCUUAAUUUAAGUUUUGUGUGUAUUACAGGAAAUAAGUUUUAUCGAACUUUGAAAAAUAUGUCACUCCUGCUUCAUUCAAUAUUCUCAGUUUAAAAAUCACUUCACAUAUUUCAUGUAAAUUUUCGUAGUUGCGUACUUUUUAUUAUUCUUACUAUGAGGACAGACAAAAGCGCGUAAUAUGUCAAGAUAUAUUCUUAACAUAUUUCUUUAAGGCUGAAUUUCUUUUAUUAAUCGAAAAGUUUUCUUUAGUACGUAUAUAUACAAAUGUACUUUUAUAUAUAUCUAAGUUUUUUAGCAAUUAGUAAAAGUUGAACAUUAUUCAAUAAAUUGUAUUUCUUUACUGUUUAAAAUAACGUCCUGUCGAGGGCUCAGAGCGUACUACUUGGUAGUACGACAAACAGUAUAAGUCAACUUGUUACCAACGAAAUACCGCUAGCGUCUCUCAAUAUAGCACCAAUUGAUAUCGACGAAAU
rnacentral:misc_RNA from 1 species